CAUUGUGUAAAAUGGGAGUUCUGUGCUUCUGUCAUGCAUCUGAAAGGAUGGCUUCUGUGGUUUUGCCUGUGAAAUUGUAAAACCACACUGAAGAUGGCUCUUGAUCAGUGUAGUAGCAUACAUUGGGUUGUCACUGGGUAGAGCUGCACAUAUCUCUUGGAAGGAGUCCAUGACGUGCCCCCACAUACCAUGAGUAUGUUGUUGGAUAGAGCACAGGGAAGCACAGUGAGAAGCACAGUAUGGCCAGCCUGGCAGGAUGGUUCAGACUUGUCUCAGAAGUUCAGGGAUAUUGCAGCAGAGUCAUGACCAGCCAAAGAUCUUUGUCAGUGUUUACGCCUGAUGCAAUUGCGAAAGCCAGAAAAUGGCCUUUGUGAUGAUGCCACUGAGAUUUAGAACAUUAAAGCAAUCUCAUUAUCAGUUUGCAUCCCCAGUUGGAAAUCGGAGAUUGUUCAGCACAUCAAACAAUCUCAUCUUUACAUUGGCAACAGAGAUCUUGAAAUUAUAAGAGGUUUAACUGAGUGACAUAUGUAUAAAGUGAAGAUCCUUUUUUACCUGAAAAGAAGGCACAUAUAGGUACUGCCCAAGCAUUUGCAUGAACCUCACAACGUGGGUGGGAUUAUGUGAACAUGCUCUCCUGAAAAGUGCACAAACCUUUACCCAAAGUAGCACUCAGAUUUUGUUUGAGGAUUGUGGAGAGCUAUUUGAUGUUGUUUUGGUUCCU
rnacentral:lncRNA from 1 species